AUAUAAUUUAUCUUAAACAUGCAUCUUUCCUAUAAUAUGAAUAAAAAAAUUCAAUAAUGUAUUAUAUGCAAAAUGUAUAAAUUGAAGAAAAACAUAUUUUAAAUGAGAUUAUCUAUUUGAUCAUUGGAAAAUUGCCAAAAAUAUCAUUUUCAAAGUACCACUUUUCAAGUUUACACUAACCACUUUUACCAUCAUCUUUAAUGAAGGGUAAAAGACAUUUAUAACCUUUUGAUUAACUUUAAAAAUAAAAAAACAUAUGGGUUAACUACUCUAAACUCUAAAUCAUCAACUCUAAACCCUAAACCAUGAAACAUCAACUCUAAACCAUAAACCCCGAAACAUCAACUCUAAACCCUAAACCUUCAAAUCUAAACCCUAAAACAUCAAACUCUAAACACUAAACGUAAACCCUAAACCCUAAAUCUAAACUUAAAACAUCAACCAUAAACCCUAAAUCAUCAACUCUAAGCCCUAAACUAUGAAAUAUCAACUCUAAACCCUAAACCCCGAAAUAUCAACACUAAACCCUAAACGUAAACCCUAAACCCUAUAUUUUUCUGAAAU
rnacentral:lncRNA from 1 species